ACCGAAAUAGCUCAGCUGAGAGAGCGUUAGACUAUAGAUCGAAAAGUCCCUGGUUCGAUCCCGGGUUCUGGCA
rnacentral:tRNA from 1 species